rnacentral:lncRNA from 1 species
AUUACCAAGUGGGGUGAACCAGAUUUUGUCCAAAGCAACCAUGAGGACCAAGAACUCAACCAUGAUAAUAGGAAGUGUUAAGUUGAAGUCAAAGAGUGCAGCUUUUUCUAUUUCUUCAGCCAAAGAAGGUGGUGCGAAGGUUAAGGAAGUGGCAGCAAUGAGAGAGAGGGAUUUGAGGGUGGAGGUGGAGAGAGAUAGGAGUUGGGGUUUGGUGAUCUUGAGGAUUUUAGGGAAGGAAAGUUGUGGGAUUUGGAGUUUGGGUUUGGUGUUAGUGGGGAGGGAAGAGGAGGAGAGGGUGAUGAGAGGUUUGGAAGAGGCCAUGAUCAUGUUG